rnacentral:rRNA from 1 species
GGUUAAGCGACUAAGCGUACACGGUGGAUGCCCUGGCAGUCAGAGGCGAUGAAGGGCGUGCUAAUCUGCGAUAAGCGCCGGUAAGGUGAUAUGAACCGUUAUAACCGGCGAUACCCGAAUGGGGAAACCCAGUGUGACUCGUCACACUAUCAUUAACUGAAUCCAUAGGUUAAUGAGGCGAACCGGGGGAACUGAAACAUCUAAGUACCCCGAGGAAAAGAAAUCAACCGAGAUUCCCCCAGUAGCGGCGAGCGAACGGGGAGGAGCCCAGAGCCUGAAUCAGCAUGUGUGUUAGUGGAAGCGUCUGGAAAGGCGCGCGAUACAGGGUGACAGCCCCGUACACAAAAGCGCAUGUGCUGUGAGCUCGAUGAGUAGGGCGGGACACGUGGUAUCCUGUCUGAAUAUGGGGGGACCAUCCUCCAAGGCUAAAUACUCCUGACUGACCGAUAGUGAACCAGUACCGUGAGGGAAAGGCGAAAAGAACCCCGGCGAGGGGAGUGAAAAAGAACCUGAAACCGUGUACGUACAAGCAGUGGGAGCACAGGUUUACCUGUGUGACUGCGUACCUUUUGUAUAAUGGGUCAGCGACUUAUAUUCUGUAGCAAGGUUAACCGUAUAGGGGAGCCGUAGGGAAACCGAGUCUUAACCGGGCGUUAAGUUGCAGGGUAUAGACCCGAAACCCGGUGAUCUAGCCAUGGGCAGGUUGAAGGUUGGGUAACACUAACUGGAGGACCGAACCGACUAAUGUUGAAAAAUUAGCGGAUGACCUGUGGCUGGGGGUGAAAGGCCAAUCAAACCGGGAGAUAGCUGGUUCUCCCCGAAAGCUAUUUAGGUAGCGCCUCGUGAAUUCAUCUCCGGGGGUAGAGCACUGUUUCGGCUAGGGGGCCAUCCCGGCUUACCAACCCGAUGCAAACUGCGAAUACCGGAGAAUGUUAUCACGGGAGACACACGGCGGGUGCUAACGUCCGUCGUGAAGAGGGAAACAACCCAGACCGCCAGCUAAGGUCCCAAAGUCAUGGUUAAGUGGGAAACGAUGUGGGAAGGCCCAGACAGCCAGGAUGUUGGCUUAGAAGCAGCCAUCAUUUAAAGAAAGCGUAAUAGCUCACUGGUCGAGUCGGCCUGCGCGGAAGAUGUAACGGGGCUAAACCAUGCACCGAAGCUGCGGCAGCGACGCUGAUGCGUUGUUGGGUAGGGGAGCGUUCUGUAAGCCUGUGAAGGUGGCCUGUGAGGGUUGCUGGAGGUAUCAGAAGUGCGAAUGCUGACAUAAGUAACGAUAAAGCGGGUGAAAAGCCCGCUCGCCGGAAGACCAAGGGUUCCUGUCCAACGUUAAUCGGGGCAGGGUGAGUCGACCCCUAAGGCGAGGCCGAAAGGCGUAGUCGAUGGGAAACGGGUUAAUAUUCCCGUACUUGGUGUUACUGCGAAGGGGGGACGGAGAAGGCUAUGUUGGCCGGGCGACGGUUGUCCCGGUUUAAGCGUGUAGGUGUGUGUUCCAGGUAAAUCCGGUUCACUUUAACACUGAGGCGUGAUGACAGCACUACGGUGCUGAACAACAAAUGCCCUGCUUCCAGGAAAAGCCUCUAAGCAUCAGGUAACAUCAAAUCGUACCCCAAACCGACACAGGUGGUCAGGUAGAGAAUACCAAGGCGCUUGAGAGAACUCGGGUGAAGGAACUAGGCAAAAUGGUGCCGUAACUUCGGGAGAAGGCACGCUGACACGUAGGUGAAGUGAUUUACUCAUGGAGCUGAAGUCAGUCGAAGAUACCAGCUGGCUGCAACUGUUUAUUAAAAACACAGCACUGUGCAAACACGAAAGUGGACGUAUACGGUGUGACGCCUGCCCGGUGCCGGAAGGUUAAUUGAUGGGGUCAGCGCAAGCGAAGCUCCUGAUCGAAGCCCCGGUAAACGGCGGCCGUAACUAUAACGGUCCUAAGGUAGCGAAAUUCCUUGUCGGGUAAGUUCCGACCUGCACGAAUGGCGUAAUGAUGGCCAGGCUGUCUCCACCCGAGACUCAGUGAAAUUGAACUCGCUGUGAAGAUGCAGUGUACCCGCGGCAAGACGGAAAGACCCCGUGAACCUUUACUAUAGCUUGACACUGAACAUUGAGCCUUGAUGUGUAGGAUAGGUGGGAGGCUUUGAAGCGUGGACGCCAGUCUGCAUGGAGCCGGCCUUGAAAUACCACCCUUUAAUGUUUGAUGUUCUAACGUGGACCCGUGAUCCGGGUUGCGGACAGUGUCUGGUGGGUAGUUUGACUGGGGCGGUCUCCUCCUAAAGAGUAACGGAGGAGCACGAAGGUUGGCUAAUCCUGGUCGGACAUCAGGAGGUUAGUGCAAUGGCAUAAGCCAGCUUGACUGCGAGCGUGACGGCGCGAGCAGGUGCGAAAGCAGGUCAUAGUGAUCCGGUGGUUCUGAAUGGAAGGGCCAUCGCUCAACGGAUAAAAGGUACUCCGGGGAUAACAGGCUGAUACCGCCCAAGAGUUCAUAUCGACGGCGGUGUUUGGCACCUCGAUGUCGGCUCAUCACAUCCUGGGGCUGAAGUAGGUCCCAAGGGUAUGGCUGUUCGCCAUUUAAAGUGGUACGCGAGCUGGGUUUAGAACGUCGUGAGACAGUUCGGUCCCUAUCUGCCGUGGGCGCUGGAGAACUGAGGGGGGCUGCUCCUAGUACGAGAGGACCGGAGUGGACGCAUCACUGGUGUUCGGGUUGUCAUGCCAAUGGCACUGCCCGGUAGCUAAAUGCGGAAGAGAUAAGUGCUGAAAGCAUCUAAGCACGAAACUUGCCCCGAGAUGAGUUCUCCCUGAGACUUAGAGUCUCCUGAAGGAACGUUGAAGACGACGACGUUGAUAGGCCGGGUGUGUAAGCGCAGCGAUGCGUUGAGCUAACCGGUACUAAUGAACCGUGAGGCUUAACCUU